GCUGCCAUUGCGGAUUUUGCCAGCUUCAGCCAGUUUAGUCCUAAGAAGGAACUUCUGACCCCAGACAUCCUGUUUUCUAAAACUAAGCAGUUAAAGCUGAAUGGGAAUUUAGCUCUGUCACAUAGGCAUUUGUUGGGCAACAAAAGCAGGGUAGGGCUCCAGCUAAGCCACGUAGGCACUACGAUGGGCAACAGAAAGGUUGGUUUCUGGGCAAUUCAGAGAAACCAAGGACAGCUACCCCCAGAACUCAGAGUAGCCAACUGGGCUGCUCACAGGAGAUGCCUUAACUGAAAGGUGAUCAGACUCCACAGGAGACCCAGAGAAGAUGUGGAGGGAGCUCAGAGGCUGUCCUGGAGGAGACGUGGAGACAGCUCAGAGGCUGUCCCAGAGAAGACGUGGAAAGAGCUCAGAGGCUGUCCCAGAGAAGACGUGGAGAGCUCAGAGGAUGUCCCAGAGAAGACGUGGAGAGAGUUCAGAGGCUGUCCCGGAGAAGACGUGGAAAGAGCUCAGAAACUCAGAGACUGUCCCGGAGAAGACAUGGAAACAGCUCAGAGGCUGUCUGCAAGAAGACGUGCAGAGAGUUCAGAGGCUGUCCCGGAGAAGACAUGGAGAGAGCUCAAAGGCUGUCCACAAGAAGAUGUGGAGAGAGUUCAGAGGCUGUCGUUACUGCUGCACUUGGCUGUUUUUCUUUGGAUAAUUAUUGCAAUCAAUUUUAGUAAUUCAGGUGUUAAAUCACAGUCAAGCACCUAUUUACCUAGUGUGGUCUGAUGAAUUUCACUUCUUUGAUACUUUUUGAGAGAGCUGAGAGUCCAUUUCCUGAGGAAGAAACUCAGAGAAAACAAAUGUAAAAUCCUUAAGUAAGUCAUAUUUGGUUGGGAAGAUCAAAGAAAUCACCCAGUCUCCCACAUCCGAAAUUGUGCAGUCUGGACUGUCAGGAACAAAAGUGAAAGAGAGACGUCAUCAAGGCCGGGCGCGGUGGCUCAUGCCUGUAAUCCCAGCACUUUGGAAGGCCAAGGAGGGCGGAUCAUGAGGUCAGGAGUUCAAGACCAGCCUGGCCAAUAUGGUGAAACCCUGUCUGUCUCUACUAAAAAUAAAAAAAUUAGCCAGGCGUGGUGGCAGGCACCUGUAAUCCCAGCUACUUGGGAGGCUGAGGCAGAAGAAUCACUUGAACCUGAGAGGCAGAGGUUGCAAUAAGCCAAGAUUGUGCCAUUGCACUCCAGCCUGGGAGACAAAGCGAGACUCCAUCUCAAAAAAAAAAAAAAAAAAAAGAAUGACUAAAAUUAAGAAGAUUGAUGAUUCCAAAUAUUGGUAAAGAUGUAGAACAACUAGAACUCCCACAUAUUGCUGAUGAAAAUGAAGAAUAAUACAUUACUUUGGAAAAUACUUUGGUACUGAUUUACCAUAUGACCCCAAAAUCUCACUUGUAGAAAUUUAUACAGGAAAAAUGAAAACAUAUGCUCACAGAAAGCUUGUAUACACAUGCUUAUGGCAAUAAAUUUAUUUAUAGUUGCCUAUCAACAAGUGAUGAACAAAUAUAUUUUAGUAUCUUGAUACUACUUUCUAGCUAGAAAAGGAAUACUACUAAGCAAAAAUAGAGGAUGAAGUAGUAAUAUACAUAACAUAUAUGAAUUUAAAAACACCAUGCUGAUUGAAAGAAAACAAUUAUCAAAUACACAGUGUAAUAUUCUAUUCACAGAAAGUUUGAAAACAAAAAACUAUAGUCUCUGAAAGAAAACCAUUGGUUGCAGGAAGGUGGGGAUUCAUUGGCCACAAAAGGGACUGAGGAAACUUUUUAUGGGUAAUGGAAAUAUUUUAUAUCUUGAUGGUGGCACCAAUUAUACAACUGUAUGUACACAUUUGUCAAAAUUCUAAUCGUAUUAUACACAACAUGAGUGACUUUAACUGUCUAUAAAUUAUAUCUCAAUAAAAUUGGUCUUAAAAGAU
rnacentral:lncRNA from 1 species